UACGUAGGGGGCAAGCGUUGUCCGGAUUCAUUGGGCGUAAAGAGCGUGUAGGCGGCCAGGUAGGUCGGUUGUGAAAACUGGAGGCUCAACCUUCAGAGGUCGACCGAAACCAUCUGGCUAGAGUUCGGUAGGGGAGACUGGAAUUCCUGGUGUAGCGGUGAAAUGCGUAGAGAUCAGGAAGAACACCGGUGGCGAAAGCGCUCUGCUGGACCUUAACUGACACUGAGGGACGAAAGCUAGGGGAGCGAAUGGG
rnacentral:rRNA from 1 species